UACGAAGGGGGCGAGCGUUGUUCGGAAUCACUGGGCGUAAAGGGCGCGUAGGCAGCCCUCCUAGUCGCGUGUGAAAGCCCCGGGCUCAACCUGGGAACGGCGCGCGAAACGGGGGGGCUGGAGUUCGGGAGAGGAGCGUGGAAUUCCCAGUGUAGAGGUGAAAUUCGUAGAUAUUGGGAAGAACACCGGUGGCGAAGGCGGCGCUCUGGACCGAGACUGACGCUGAGGCGCGAAGGCCAGGGGAGCAAACGGG
rnacentral:rRNA from 1 species